rnacentral:rRNA from 1 species
UGGAUCCAGACUUUGAUCAUGGCUCAGGAUGAACGCUAGCGACAGGCUUAACACAUGCAAGUCGAGGGGCAGCGGGGAUGUAGCAAUACAUCCGCCGGCGACCGGCGCACGGGUGAGUAACACGUAUGCAAUCUGCCCCCGGCAGGGGAAUAAGCCGGAGAAAUCCGGUCUAAUACCGCGUAACAUUCUCGGGAGACAUCUCCUGAGGAUCAAAGGAAGCAAUUCCGGCCGGGGAUGAGCAUGCGGCGCAUUAGCUGGUUGGCGGGGUAACGGCCCACCAAGGCGACGAUGCGUAGGGGUUCUGAGAGGAAGGUCCCCCACACUGGUACUGAGACACGGACCAGACUCCUACGGGAGGCAGCAGUGAGGAAUAUUGGUCAAUGGGCGGGAGCCUGAACCAGCCAAGUCGCGUGAGGGAAGACGGUCCUAAGGAUUGUAAACCUCUUUUGUCGGGGAGCAAAGGCGCCUACGAGUAGGCGGAUGAGAGUACCCGAAGAAAAAGCAUCGGCUAACUCCGUGCCAGCAGCCGCGGUAAUACGGAGGAUGCGAGCGUUAUCCGGAUUUAUUGGGUUUAAAGGGUGCGUAGGCGGGGUGUUAAGUCAGCGGUAAAAUUGAGGGGCUCAACCCCUUCGAGCCGUUGAAACUGGCAUUCUUGAGUGAAUGAGAAGUAUGCGGAAUGCGUGGUGUAGCGGUGAAAUGCAUAGAUAUCACGCAGAACUCCGAUUGCGAAGGCAGCAUACCGGCAUUCAACUGACGCUGAAGCACGAAAGCGUGGGGAUCAAACAGGAUUAGAUACCCUGGUAGUCCACGCAGUAAACGAUGAAUGCUAAUUGUCCGGGACGAAUGAGUUCUGGGUGAUAAAGCGAAAGCGUUAAGCAUCC